AUCCUGGGGCUGGAGAAGGUCCCAAGGGUUUGGCUGUUCGCCAAUUAAAAAGGUACGUGAGCUGGGUUCAAACCGUCAAAAAGAACCAAAAACAUCGAGAUUCACACGGCGGCUUGUCGCCGCAAGGCGACUCGAAUAAACCGACUCAUAUCGGUGAAACCCUAAUAUCUAUUGAAUAACAACCUGUCAUAUGUUAGGAUAAUACCGAGGGAAGUCGUUUAUGCCAAAAAUUUUUUCGUCAACAAAACGCGCAUACUUGGCAGGAUUUCUUGACGGCGAUGGAAGUAUCUACGUGCGCCUGAAACAGAAUAGUGGUUAUCGUUACGGAUUUCAGGUCGCACCGUACGUAGUAUUCUUUCAGUCCCAGAAAGAAAGACGAAGGUUUAAGAAAAUCUGCUUUCUUUUGGGAAUGGGAUAUUUGCGGGAGAGAAAUGAUGGGAUUCUGGAAUAUGUGAUAAAUCGUAAAGAAGAGAUAAGAAAUUUCCUCGGACAAGUUAAAUCUCAUCUCAUCCUGAAAAGAAAACAAGCGGAAUUAAUGCUUGAAAUUUUGGCCAAGAAAGAAAAGAUAAAAACCAAGGCUGAUUUCAAUCAGUUGGCGCGACUUGUUGAUAAAUUUCGAGAGUUGAAUUAUUCGAAGAAAAGAAAAAGGUAUAAAUUGACCCUGUAGAGACUACACGUCGGUCUCCCGAGAAAUCGGGAUGGUGGUAUAGUCCGACACUUCUGGUAACAGAAGAUUACAGAUAGCGUGAGACAGGUUGGUCUCCUAUCUACUGCACCCGUUGAUUCUUGAGGGGGAUUCUCCCUAGUACGAGAGGACCGGGAGGAGGCGACCUCUGGUCUACCUGCUGUUCCGCCAGGAGCAUCGCAGGGUAGCUAUGUCGCUAAGUGAUAAGCGCUGAAAGCAUCUAAGCGCGAAGUAUGCCCCAAGAUUAGGAAUCUUGUCUGCCGUCAGGCAGGCGUAGACCCGUGGGAGAUUACCACGUUGAUAGGCUCCAGGUGUAAGUCCCGCAAGGGAUUAAGCCAAGGAGUACUAAUAAGUC
rnacentral:rRNA from 1 species